GAUACUUCCCAUUCUGCACAAUUGUGACCUUUGACCCCUUGCACGUGGUCUUAAAUGUCCACAUUCUGGAUGACAUCCUGCCAGACUUUGUUGGUAUUUCACUGUUUGAUCUAGCAUGUGACUGUUUUCCCCCCCAGCACUUGUCCCAUGUUGGCUGGCCCACUAUGCAGUUAAAUGGAAAGGUUUUUCCCCAGCACUUGUCCCAUGUUGGCUGGCCCACUAUGCAGUUAAAUGGAAAGGUUUUUCCCCCAUCACUUGUCCCAUGUUGGCUGGCCUACUAUGCAGUUAAAUGGAAAGGUUUCUCCCCAGCACUUGUCCCAUGUUGGCUGGCCCACUAUGCAGUUAAAUGGAAAGGUUUCUCCCCAGCACUUGUCCCAUGUUGGCUGGCCCACUAUGCAGUUAAAUGGAAAGGUUCUACAGAUGUAGACGUGACAUGUGAAUUGGGAUGAGGGGAAAUGACAAUCAAUGACAACUGAAAUAGCAAACAUUAUCUGUAUAUCGCUAUAUUUGUUCUUGUAGAUGUACUUUGAAUAUGUUUAAUAUGUGGGGGAAGCAUUUCAUUUGUAGUCUUUCUUAAUUUGUCGUUUUGAGUGGCC
rnacentral:lncRNA from 1 species